rnacentral:misc_RNA from 1 species
AACCAUUCUCACCUGCGGCUAGACCUGCGGAAGGAUCAUUAUUGAAUUGUUUGUUUGAAUUGGCUUAAAACCCCAAUUCAGCAUCCAUAUCCAUAACACCUGUGCACUGUUGGAUGAACUCGACUCUUGUAGUCUUGCGAGUCCACUUUUACACCAAACAAUUUGUAACAAAUGUAGUCUUAUUAUAACAUAAUAAAACUUUUAACAAUGGAUCU